rnacentral:misc_RNA from 1 species
AAAGGUGCGCCGAUCUCCGCUUACCGACGCACGCGAGCAUCGACCGGUGCGUAGCUUCACUUGCUUUCUCUUUCUUCGUUCUACCUCCCUUAGAAUCUCUCCGUGAUCUGCCGCUGCCGUGCUCGCACACGUGACCGCACGUGCCGUUGUCGGGCACAACUGUCUUUCCUGCAUCUCUCUCUCUCUCUCGCUGUGUGUGUGUGUGUGCGUGUGUGUCUUCAAGGACUGUGUGCGCUCUGCCCGAACCCCCUUCCACUGUCUCGGCCCCUCCUCCAUCUGUCGUCGUGCUUCUCCUCCGUUUUCACAGCUCCACCCGGGUGCACGCAGGCGGAAUGCGCAGCUCCGUGUCGGUGACUCCGUCGCGCCGCCCGAAGCGGCCCAACGCCGGUGCUUCCAUCUCGCCUUCUCGCACGUCGCUCUCGCGCGGCGCCUCGCCUGCCAAAUCCCCGGCAGUGCUCCGCGAGAGGGGCCGCAGCGUGUCACCGUCCGUGAAGAAGGGAAUUCGUCCAGGCAUCGCCGAUGAUGCGGCGGCGGUGCACAAGGGGAGUGUUGCGGCGUACCCCAACGCCGGCCACGCUACCAGCAGCACAGCGUCACCGUCCGUAACGGGCGGCUCACUCUCGCACUUCGCGCAGGACGGGAGGCGCCUUGAGCCGAACACAUGCGAGACGACCUUCAGCUUCCACGGCCAGUAUGAGCACAUCGCGGUGGCGCAUCGCACAGCAACACUGUGGUGCGCCAACACCGCAACCGGCGCCAUGGACCUCUACAGCUGCGUCACGGGCCAGUUUGUUACCUCGCUUCUCCCACUCCACGAGGAGGUGGUGGCGCGGCGGGCGGAGCUGUCGGAGCUGCCGCUGAGUGCGCCGAGCGCCAAGGGCACCAACGGCAGCGCCAAGGGUGCCACGGGCGGGUUGCUUGGCUCUCACUGGGGCUCCACGGCACUCACUCCUCGCAGUCGUGGACUCGUUCCCACGGGAGGAGGGCGGCGGCUCUCAACGCUAUCAUCCACCAGCGCCGCAGCCCAUCACCAUCGCACGGCGUCUAACAGCCUCUCGGCGUCCAGCCUUGCCUCCGCGUGGGCGCGCGUGCCUGAGGGCGACCUUCGCGCCACCGCCCUAUGCGCCACCGCCACGCACAUGUGGGUCGGUUAUACCAAUGGCACCGUCGCCGUCUACGACGCGCUUCUUCUCAAGCUCGUCACUUUCGGUCGGCUGCACACCGACCGCAUCGUGUCCAUCGUCGCGCUUUUCAACGGCCAGACGGUGUCCGCCUCCACGGACGGCCUCUUGAUUCUGUGGGAUACAGAGCAAGGUGGCUUCGAGGCGGUAACACGAGUGACGGUGCUGCUGGACGCCGUCCGCGAAGGCGCGGGGGCGCUGUGUGCUAUGGCUUCCAUUUCACCCGCCACGCGCGUGUGCUGCGGGUUCGAGUCGGGUGUCAUCUAUAACGUCCGUAUCGCGAGCCGGCCGCAGGAGCAGACCGCGCCGCAGUCAGUGCGUGGCCACCACGGGCGAGUGAACGACAUGGCGGUCGUGCGUGAUGUGCUCUUUACUGCCGCGGAGGACAACACCGUGUGCGCGUGGCACUGCGGUGGCGCCGCCGGCGCGCGCGGUGCGCAGCGUCUCGACGGCGGCGGGUCCGCGCCAUCGAACCCCUUCCUGAGGGCGGCUCGCGAUGCCGGCCACGCACGGUUUGGGCCUCACAUGGGCGGCAGCGUGAGGAUGCUGAAGCGCAUCCCCGUCAGACCGUGUGUGCGGUGCCUCCUGGCGGAGGAGCAGACGCGCAGCGUCUGGGUAGCGUACGCGGACGGCCUCGUGGAGCGCUGGAGUGCCAACCCAGAUGACGACUACGGCGUGGAGGAGGUGGUGGAGAACGCGCUCGCAGCAUCGCUGUCGGCCGGCAACGGCGGCGUGCGCGCUCUUCUCUCACUGAGCGUGGUGCAGACGAUGCAGUGGCUUGCUUUGUCCAGCAACGGCGUAAACAAGGUCUGGUAUGGGCACAGGAACACCUUAGAGAUCGACCUGGCGCACUCCAUUUCGACGCUGGCGCAGGUGGUGGAGCAGGACACUGUGGACGCUGCGGCGUGGCGGGAGCGGGUCAACCUACUGAAGCAGAAAGAACUGGAGCGAAAGCAGAAGUACGUGUGCAUCCUGGAACAGCUGAGCGAGCAGCGGGUGCUGCUGCGCCACUACGACAUGUGGAAGCGCUCCGUUCUCUUCUUCGGUACGCGGCGUAGGCGAGUCGCGGCGAUCGCCGACACGCUCGAGAAGAAGUCACGCCUGCAGCUGGCUCGACGCUUCUUUAACAAGUGGGGGACCUUCUACGACGCCCAGCAGCGACACAUGCGCGUCUACGUGCUCUCCAUGGCCCUCUCCCGCGCCACAGAGCAGCAGCAGCUGCAGGGCUACUUCCUGCGGUGGCAGUCGUACCUCGUCCAUCGUCAGGUGCGUCGGAAAGCGGCGAAAAGCGCGCAGGUGCUCGCGCGCAUGGUGAACGCCGCGAUAAUGGGCUCAUGCUUCCACCGCUGGCGUGCAGCGGCAGCGGCGACCACGCGACGGCAGCGCGACCGCAUCUCAGCCGAGCAGCUGGCGCUUCUCGCCAACAAGGCGCAGCGACAGGUGCUACAGCGGGUGCUGCGCCAGUGGGUGGCACACCACGACACGCAGAAAACGCUCCCGCGACAGGUGCCCACCGCUGCAGCGGAAGGAGCGCCUCGGGACGGGCUGCCGGUGCCGGAGACUUCGGCGCUGUCUCGCUUUGCUGCGCACUACGCCCAGCAGCAGCAGCAGCGCCGAGGACGCCAGGCUCUUCAGGUGUGGCGGCGCUGGACAAGGUGGCGCGCUCGGCAGGCGUCGCUCGCGGCGGUAGCGGCCCUACGUGAACAGCAGCUUCUCCACGAGGCCCGUCAGCGCUUCUUUCUCCGCUGGCGUCAGCGCGUGCAUGCGCGGCAUGUGGACGAAAACACACAGCAGCUGAAGAUGCUCGAGGUGGAGCUGCGCCGCGCUGAGGCCGAGCACGGCGACAUCUUUGAAAAGCUCCAGCUGCAGCGGCAGCUGGACCUCGUCCUCGAGCGGCAAUCGGCGGAGGAGGCGCGCUUGGCGCAGAUCAAAGAGCAGCUGGCCUCUGCCGAGCACACCUGCUCUGAACUGCGUGCGCGUCAGCUGCAGCGAACCAUCGUUGGCAGCAACGGCGCGGCGCACGCCGGUUCGUGCGGCAGCAGCUUAACGACCUCAAGUGGAGCGGCAACAGGUGCCUCCGCUGCUGUGGCGCCGGCAGACGCGUCGCGGCGCUCAUCGGUGGCACGAUUUGCUGGCACUGACACGGAUCUCUCGCUGUCGACCACCAGUGAGGGCCUUCCGCUUGCCCAGCAACAGCAGCAACAGCAAGUGGUGCUGUCGGCCCUGAGCCGCGGCCACAUGGCAUCGAAUGCCGCGUGGUACCGGUCGAUGGUGGACCAGCAGCGCCUGUCGCCCAUUGUGCUGUCGCACAUGCCGACGGAGGAGGCCGUGCAUCACGUCAUGGGCCAACUGAAGGGCAACGUCGUUAACCUCUACACCGAUCUGGCACUCUUUCGGCAGGUCAAGGAUCGCCGGCGCGCCGGCACAUCGGCGGUUGGCAUUCUGCUUGAAGCCUUUGGGGAGGUGAAGCGGCUCAUCGUGACUACGGUGCGUGGCACUUCGGCCAAUGCAGCAUCGGCGGCGGCGGCGCGCAUGGGCGGCAAGGCUACGCGGUGGCCGCUCAGCAUGGAGGCGCUGGACUGCAUUCCGGUGCACCACUGCGCCACCGUGCUGAGCGCCAUCAAGACACUGGUCGUCGCGUACGAUCUCCUGCAGCCCGAGGACAUGAUCAGUGUGCAGACGACCUGCGAGGAGGUGGUCGUCAACGCCGACUGGAUCUUCCUGAUCGCGCGCGCCUGCUACCUGCGACGGAAGCCCGUGCCGCCCGCGAACAAUCGGCAGCUUAUCUAGACAUGAAACGUGGGCAGGUGUGUGUGUGUGUGUGUGUGUGUGUGCAUGGAAGUGAGCCGGCCAUCAACAUGGCUCGCGUCUCUUCCUCCCUCCCUCCUCCCCCCGCGCACACACACACACACGCGCCUGCCCACUCAUCAUUUUGCUGUGUAACAUCUUUAGAGGCGGAGUUCUUUGUCCCAUUCCUCGCCUUCGACUUCUUGUGCGGCCCGCUACUUCACGGCGCGUCGUUCGCGUGCUCGGCUGUUUCCAUGUCUCGGGUGUAUAUAGGGGGUGCCAGAAAGAGAAGUGGUCGCAUCUACGGCGUGUAUGUGUGAGUGUACAGUAGCAGCGGCAUCGCGUAGUGAACGACAGCGGGCUGAUAUCGUGCGUAGAGGGCUGGUGGCAAGCACCAGCACCUCUCGGGCUCAUUUUUGCUCUCCCUCCUUCCG